CCUGGAACAUAAUUUAAUUUUUAUUGAAUUCAAAUAGAACGAGCUAGUUUAAGAUAUAUGGAAAAAGGGGAAGCGAAUGGAUGAACAAUGAAAAGAAUGCCAGGAACCACAGUGACACCAGGAUAACAGAAAAAAGAAAUUUCUUCUUUUCCCCGUUGGGCGAAGCGCGAGUUCCGCAAACGGAUGACAUGCGCACUUCGCGUGAACCAUCGAUUUUCAUCGUCCGCCACCGCACGAUUAUCGGCUUAAAUUGAACGAAGCGUUUCUCUUUUUUUUUUUUUUUUUUUAACCUCCCCUUGGCUACCUCCCACUAUGGUUGAGAUUGUCGCGAAAUAAUAACAGAGGCUAGGCGCACCAGCACUCGUUCAUGGCGCCCCAUUAUGCCAAGAGGCGAGCCAAGGGGGCUUGCCAUUUUUUGCCGGACAACCGAAGGAUCAGGAAAGACCGCCUCCGUCUUCCGUCAUUCGCUCUUUUUGCGGUUGACCGGUGUCUCGAUCAACGCCAUCAUUGUCUUGCAGUCGUCGUUCAGUUUGUACCGAGGCACUCUCGUCGCCAUUCGAAAGACACAACGCAUCUCCAAUUACCAGGGGCUCAGCAUCGUUCAAGAGCAUGGGUUCCGGUGCGUCAAGCAUGUAUCGUUUUGUGUCAACUUCCUUUUUCUCCCACCAUCUGCCGGUUGACGUUUCAAUAUAUCGAACCUAUUGAUGCGGUACGCUCUCUGGCGAACGGCUUGGUAAAUUGUAUCGAUGCACAAACCGCGGGAGAAAGCGUUGCGGUCGAACAGGCGCAACAGUUGGGUAUUUUUUUCUGUAUGUAUAUAAGUGAUAAGUUCUAUCGUUGAAGUAAUUUACAUAUUAUGAAACAUUUUAGGAGAAGCAGAAAUGAACGGAUUCGUGUACUGGGUCUUUGUAUCUCUAUAGACGACUCUGUGUCUUGAAAUAGAGAAUAUGAAUUAAUUUUAAUCUAUAUUCCAGUUGCAUGAUGCAGCAAUAGAUAAUAUAUACAGCAUCUAUGAAUAUGAAAGUUACAGAGUUACUAAGAAAACAUACUAAGCUUUGAGUAAGUUUCUAACUAUGCCUUCUGCGUGGAUGUAAAUUAGGAAAUAGCAUGCAAUGUCCAGAGAUGAAUCACUGAAGAACAUUUAUCCUGCAGAGGACGUAAUAACAAUUUUUAGCUUUCUACCACAGAGUUUUAGACAACGUACGUUAAUUGUUCAAAGGAAUACUACCCUGAUCCUGCAAGGACGAGAUGUCACGUGGUUUUACGGUGGAGGAGACGACGCUAAACUUACCCUAAAAUCUGCUCGCCUAAUACGAACCUGGUCAUGUGCUUGAAUUUUCGAUUGACGAGCAUUCGACAGCCGAUUACGGUACAUUGGCAAGCUUUAUUCAAUUAACUCUUUCGACUUUCAAAUAAUAACUUAGAAAGGACCAUCAGUUUUAUAGUUAAAUGCAGCAAGUCAAAUAGAAGAAAUAUUACUCUGAAUAUCUAAUUGAAUACUUAUAGGAUAUUUCUCUUUUGGGAAAAUAGACCUAAUUUAUACUUAAUGAUUCUGGAAUCAUGUUCAGAAGGAAACUGCAUAGAGUGCUUUUCAAGCGAAAACAUUGGUACUACGUGCCUCGACUAUGCAAGUGAAACGAGUCGAGCAAAUCAGACGCUUUUCCACGAUAUCCAGGCAACAGCCGGGAGCAAUAGCAGCAUCCACCUCUAUAGAUCAACGCGGGUAGAUGAAAUAAACAAACGUAACAUACUGAUACGUUCCUGGUAGCAUCGAAACGCGAUGAGAUGUCGUAAACGUAGGAAGAUGACAGAAAAUCGAUAAGCUACCUUCAGAUGUGGUCCAGGUUCCUCGCGAUUCUUCGCUGCUUUCUUUUAUGCCCGGACAAACACCGUCGAGUGAUGGUGGCCUGAUAUUUUUCAGACGUUACGUGUCUUAUUGUUGUCUUCGUUUGUUCCGUUACUACGCGUCAAAAAAAUAUCGAGUCGCAACAAUAUGUAUUGGUGAAUCGAUACUAUUUCAACUUUAGAUACUAUCCUGUUACGUUGACACGUCAUGGUCGUCAUGUCUCGACAAAUUUGACGUUAAAUCAAUAAACCCCUUUGAGUACGCUUCACUUGCACACAUAUGUCAUUUAUAGAUAUCUUAUUGGAUGAAGAUAAUCAAGUGGACGUAGGUGAUCAGAAUUAUCACGAGCUAUAAUUUACUACAUAAUUAAUCAACGAAGGUAAUUGCAAACUAAUUACUGCUACUGUAUGAACAAAAAAUAGAGUAAUACACGAUCUUAGAUGGUGUAUGAUUCAUUCGAUGAAUAUUGUGUUACAAAGGGAUGAAAUACAUUUCAAAGGGAUUCUGAUUUCAAGCAGCCAACGUUUGCGUGCUUCGGUAUCGAUUUAACGUCAGUUUCAUGUCAUAAAGACGUCAAACACACGCUUUUCAUCAGGGCAACAUCCACGGCUUGAAUUUAUGACCAACCAUGAGCAACAGGUCUCGGAGGGAUGAAUUCUCUCGCACGCAGAAUCCAGUUUCCCUCCAUUUUUGCAACGUUAGCAGUACCAGUCGUUUGUUCUCAUCGCUACCUACAAUUUGCAUUGUUAUAAAAUCAAUCCUUGAAUAAUGCAUAUGCAUAAACGAA